AUUGAACGCUGGCGGCAUGCCUAACACAUGCAAGUCGAACGGUAACAGGCCCUUCGGGCGCUGACGAGUGGCGGACGGGUGAGUAAUGCUUAGGAAUCUACCUUGUAGUGGGGGAUAACCCGAGGAAACUCGGGCUAAUACCGCAUACGCCUUACGGGGGAAAGCGGGGGACCUUCGGCCUCNCGCUAUAAGAUGAGCCUAAGUCCGAUUAGCUAGUUGGUAGGGUAAUGGCCUACCAAGGCGACGAUCGGUAGCUGGUCUGAGAGGACGACCAGCCACACUGGGACUGAGACACGGCCCAGACUCCUACGGGAGGCAGCAGUGGGGAAUAUUGGACAAUGGGCGAAAGCCUGAUCCAGCGAUGCCGCGUGUGUGAAGAAGGCC
rnacentral:rRNA from 1 species